GGAGGGGUGGCCGAGUGGUCAAUGGCAGCAGACUGUAAAUCUGCCCGCAUAAGCGUUCGAAGGUUCGAAUCCUUCUCCCUCCACCA
rnacentral:tRNA from 2 species